GGUAGCAGGGUUGGCCCUGUCCCCCAAGUUCAGUGAGAGCUCCCAGCUAGGAGGUUUAGGCCUAAGGGCCAGCCAGAACCCUUGAGAUCCAGAGAGACCUCAAUGAAGAGAGGCAUUUAAGAAGGCCCCUAUCUCCAGAACGAGAGAUGAGGGUCUUUGUCCUGCUCAGCCUUUUUAGCUGGGACCCCAGAAUUGCUCUAGACCUUGGAUUUCCGAUCUGUUAAGUGAAACAAACAAACAAACAACCGGUUGGUCUGAUGGGUUGUUGCGCAAAUAACUAAGAAAUAACUUGUGAGACACUUGCUCUAUGUCAGGCCUCUGUAUGGAGCCACCUGCCAGGUAGUCAUAAGGGCCCAGGAUCUUGAAGUCCCUCCAUGGAUAGCCCUUUCUACUGGGUGAUCCCAGGACAUUCAGAAGUAUUUAUGGAGGAGUGAUGAAGACUCAGCAUGACACCAUGUCACAGGUGAAGGACUCGGAAGGGCAGGUGGACACGCUCUGUGCCUACUGUAUGGGUCCUGUGCUUAGGAAUUCUGCUCCUGGGCUCCAGACAUCCAGUUAUUCAUCCAUUCAUCCACUCAUUCAUUUCCCAAUGCAGCCAACACUCACUGGCCCCCAGCAUGUGCCCAGCACUGUGGCUUCCUCAGUGAGCCUGACACCCCCAGGUCUUGGCCCUUGUGGAGCUCACAACCACUGGGUGACCUGAAAGGGCAUGGCUCUAGGGAUGGGGGCUCCAGGAUAAUCAGCCACUUCAUUAAAACUUGUCUGUAUUUGAAAGAAAUAAGGGAAAAAAAGACUUGCUU
rnacentral:lncRNA from 1 species